CCAGUGAAUCCAUAGUACUUUUCACUUGGCUCGAUUGGUUCGCCUUGGAUGUCAUCUCGAUGGCUAGUUUUAGCUCUUCUUGCUUUUUCUGUGGAAAGUACGAAACGAACGAAAAUAAAAAUAGCUUAGCUACAUUGGUUGCCUGCAACAAAUGGUUUCCAUAAUAAAAUAUCGAGUGCAACACAGUGCCCAUAAUUCCGUGAUGCAAAAAUAACCAGUCACUUAUUUUUAGUACAUCAAUUACCUUAGCCGAUCGGGAUUCAUUCAGUUUACAAACAAUAACUUAAAUUGCAAGUAGCAUUAAGCGUUCAGAGCGAGAAAAAAACGUAAAUAGAUCAAGAGUGCUCACUGCAGCAGAGAUCAAGACUACCGCGUCAAAACUCAAAGGAACGCAAAGUAGCGGCGCAUGCGUGUCGCAAGCCAAACGCGUGUGAGAUGCGCACGUGUCUAGCUGAGUAUUGCAAUACUUGCAGACUGGUCAGCUCAGAGAAGGUCAUUCCUUCAUGAAGAACCACUCCAAUAUUGCUAUAACCAGCUCCUUUUCAUAACUUUUGUUUCUAUCGAAGCCAAUUACAGAUAACCUGGUGCAACAUCUUUUUUUUAAAUAAAUAUUGAGAAAAGUGAAUAAGUAACCUACACAAUAAAUAACAGCAGGUACUAUCGGCUUCUGAGAAAUAUUGGGGACAAAACACUAGCGCCAAAAUAAUAUUGACGAAUAAGGCUUUAAUUAUUAAUUCGAAAAUUUUAACAGCAUGCUUUGGCGUUUUUGUUUAUAUCUUGUGGAGAAAAUUUAUUUCGUUAUUUGUCAGAGAUAGUGUCAGCUGCUGUUUCUACUGUGUAACCAGUGUGAAGCGGAAACAAAAACUUUAAAAUGGAUGGACCAGCACUCGGACGUUAGAACUGGCAGCUAGCAGGUUUGCCGGAGCAGCAUUUCACUUUGUCCCUUCAGUGAUAAUUCGAAUUUGAUACAGUUACUGAUAAGUAACUAAUUGCUGGGCCCUCGAAUUGGAAGAAGAGGAAUAAUAAGAAUUACUUCGCUACAAAUUGUCCACCCUGCCUGUGAAGGAUAUCCAGGAACUGCUUAGAGCCCUCCCAACCUUCGAAGAAUGUGGCUGAAGCUGAUGCCAUCAAUUUAGACCCUAAAAUGAGACGCAUGUCAAAUUACCGUGUUGAAACACCUGUCCUCGCAAACCAACUGGUACUACUGGUAGGUGCCAGAUAUCCGAAGGGCUCAACAGAAUGUAACUAAGGAAAUUUUACUAUUUUCGACAAUGCCCGACCCUGUCUUCGAAUUACUUUUUUUUUUUAUCCCGAUUGCGGUCGUGAGGAACUUUCACUUCCGCACCUAUACCUGCUGCCGCGUGUCGGGGCUGAAUCAUCUAAAGUCCAGCCAGUGAAGAUUUUCUUGAUCCAUU